GUACACUCCUGCGGGAGGCAGCAGUGGGGAAUAUUGCACAAUGGGCGCAAGCCUGAUGCAGCCAUGCCGCGUGUAUGAAGAAGGCCUUCGGGUUGUAAAGUACUUUCAGCGGGGAGGAAGGCGAUAAGGUUAAUAACCUUGUUGAUUGACGUUACCCGCAGAAGAAGCACCGGCUAACUCCGUGCCAGCAGCCGCGGUAAUACGGAGGGUGCAAGCGUUAAUCGGAAUUACUGGGCGUAAAGCGCACGCAGGCGGUCUGUCAAGUCGGAUGUGAAAUCCCCGGGCUCAACCUGGGAACUGCAUACGAAACUGGCAGGCUAGAGUCUUGUAGAGGGGGGUAGAAUUCCAGGUGUAGCGGUGAAAUGCGUAGAGAUCUGGAGGAAUACCGGUGGCGAAGGCGGCCCCCUGGACAAAGACUGACGCUCAGGUGCGAAAGCGUGGGGAGCAAACAGGAUUAGAUACCCCGGUAGUCC
rnacentral:rRNA from 1 species